GACGAACGCUGGCGGCGUACUUAAUGCAUGCAAGUCGAGCGGGGUCCAUCCAGUGGCAACACUGGUGAAGACCUAGCGGCGAACGGGUGCGUAACACGUGAGCAACCUGCCCCGAAGUCUGGGAUAACACCGGGAAACCGGUGCUAAUACCGGAUGUCCCCACCGGACCGCAUGGCCUGGUGAGGAAAGAUUUAUCGCUUCGGGAGGGACUCGCGGGCUAUCAGCUUGUUGGUGGGGAACGGCCUACCAAGGCAUCGACGGCUAGCUGGUCUGAGAGGACGACCAGCCACACUGGGACUGAGACACGGCCCAGACUCCUACGGGAGGCAGCAGCAGGGAAUAUUGCGCAAUGGGCGAAAGCCUGA
rnacentral:rRNA from 1 species